rnacentral:tRNA from 1 species
GACACCGUGGCCGAGCGGCGAGGCGCGCGGGUGCAACCCGCGACACGGCGGUUCGAGUCCGCCCGGUGUCU